GGGCAUAUGGUGUAGUUGGUUUAUCACGCUCGCUUAGCAUGUUAUUACGUAAUUAUGCGAGAGGUGUCCGGUUCAAUUCCGGAUAUGUCCA